rnacentral:rRNA from 1 species
GAUGAACGCUAGCGACAGGCUUAACACAUGCAAGUCGAGGGGCAGCGAGGGAGUGCUUGCACUUCUGUCGGCGACCGGCGCACGGGUGAGUAACACGUAUGCAACCUGCCCUUGUCAGGGGGAUAAGCGAGGGAAACCUCGUCUAAUACCGCAUAUAUGGUUUUGAGGCAUCUCUUAAUCAGGAAAGAAUUAUCGGACAAGGAUGGGCAUGCGGGACAUUAGGUAGUUGGGGGGUGUAACGGACCACCAAGCCGACGAUGUCUAGGGGUUCUGAGAGGAAGGUCCCCCACACUGGAACUGAGACACGGUCCAGACUCCCACGGGAGGCAGCAGUGAGGAAUAUUGGUCAAUGGUCGGAAGACUGAACCAGCCAAGUAGCGUGAAGGAUGAAGGUUCUAUGGAUUGUAAACUUCUUUUAUACGGGAAUAAAACGUCCCACGUGUGGGAUCUUGUAUGUACCGUAUGAAUAAGCAUCGGUUAACUCCGUGCCAGCAGCCGC